GGGGAAUUUUGGACAAUGGGCGCAAGCCUGAUCCAGCCAUGCCGCGUGUCUGAAGAAGGCCUUCGGGUUGUAAAGGACUUUUGUCAGGGAAGAAAAGGCUGUUGCUAAUAUCAGCGGCUGAUGACGGUACCUGAAGAAUAAGCACCGGCUAACUACGUGCCAGCAGCCGCGGUAAUACGUAGGGUGCGAGCGUUAAUCGGAAUUACUGGGCGUAAAGCGGGCGCGGACGGUUACUUAAGCAGGAUGUGAAAUCCCCGGGCUCAACCCGGGAACUGCGUUCUGAACUGGGUGACUCGAGUGUGUCAGAGGGAGGUAGAAUUCCACGUGUAGCAGUGAAAUGCGUAGAGAUGUGGAGGAAUACCGAUGGCGAAGGCAGCCUCCUGGGAUAACACUGACGUUCAUGCCCGAAAGCGUGGGUAGCAAACAGGAUUAGAUACCCUGGUAGUCCACGCCCUAAACGAUGUCAAUUAGCUGUUGGGCAACUUGAUUGCUUAGUAGCGUAGCUAACGCGUGAAAUUGACCGCCUGGGGAGUACGGUCGCAAGAUUA
rnacentral:rRNA from 1 species